GUCAGGUUGGUUCUUGCUUUGGGGGCUGAAGCAAAGCUUGAUGUUGUACCUGGUGCAAUUGAGUAUGCAUUGCCAUUCUCAACCCUCGAGGAUGCACUUAAGGUUGACAACAAAUUAAAAGCUUUGGAGAGAAGGAACUUUGGGAAGGGGUCUGAAAUUUGCGUAGCUGUUUUGUAGGUUGUGGCUACUCAGGAGUUGAAUUAGCUGCCACUAUAUCAGAGCGAUUACAGGAGUUGUGGCCAUUUUGGACGAAAAGGAAUUUGACAAUGGCAACUCACCAGUUGUGCAAGUCUACAGCCUGAUAGUCCACUACUAGAUAAUAUGUAAUCAGAAGUUCCUAUUGAAGAUGAAUUAUCACCGUUAUAGUUUUCAA